rnacentral:rRNA from 1 species
CACGGAGGAUGCAAGCGUUAUCCGGAUUUAUUGGGUUUAAAGGGUGCGCAGGUUGUUUGAUAAGUCAGUGGUGAAAGUCUGUCGCUUAACGGUAGGAUUGCCAUUGAUACUGUUAGACUUGAAUAUGGAUGAGGUAGGCGGAAUGUGUAGUGUAGCGGUGAAAUGCAUAGAUAUUACACAGAACACCGAUUGCGAAGGCAGCUUACUAAUCCAUCAUUGACGCUGAGGCACGAAAGCGUGGGGAGUCAAACA